rnacentral:lncRNA from 1 species
AAAAGUCACUGACAUAUCAGUAUUUCCCCAUGGAACUCUAGAAUGGUAUAGAAGGUCAAAAGCAUCAAAGAUGUUGCUGAUAGGAGAGAGGAUGUCGUCCCUGACAUUUAUUGGCAGAUUUAAAUUCAACCAGCAGUGAUUAUAGUAUAAAGUUAAGUUUUUCUUCUAGCUCUCUAAUGAUAUGGAGCCUUUGAAUUUUUUAUAAAACGAGAUCUUAUUUUCUCAAGUGUUUGAGAAAGAAAAAGAAAUUCUGAAGAAAUAACCUAUCAGCUCUUUUUUGUUUGUUUGUUUGUUAUCUCCUUUAGGAUACCUUGCAAACACCUAUUUGUAAAUCCCAUUAUUAACCAGGUCAGGUUUUUGUUGGUUGGUUGGUUGGUUGGUUGGUUUUUAUUACAGUUCUUAAAACUCCUGGAUUUCUUAAAGAUUUUAACUGGUUACCUUCUCUAGUAUUACUGUGUCAAAAUUCUCAGGAAUCCAAUAUCCAUAUAAAUGUUCUCUCUAGUACCUUAGCAUUUCAGGUCCUUGUGAUCUUUGUCCUAAAGAUUGUGUCGUUCACUUUAGGUCAUUCUUGCUGUCAUUUCUAGGAACAGCAUUCCUGCCAAUGCCUUAACCUCAAAGCAUUCCAUUAUCUUACCACUGCUUCCCCUCUUUCAAGCUCACUCCCUUUGGGAUUCCACCACCAACAUCCGCCCCACUGAGACAUAACUACCAUGUUUUAUUUGUCUAUCUCUUCCUCAUGUAUUUACUAAUGUUCAUAAAUUUUUCAAUUUCAAGAUCAAUUAUAGGGGCUGGGGAUGUGGCUCAAGCGGUAGCGCGCUCGCCUGGCAUGCGUGCGGCCCGGGUUCGAUUCUCAGCACCACAUACAAACAAAGAUGUUGUGUCCGCCGAGAAAUAAAAAAAAAAUAAUAAUAAAAAAAAAAAUAUAAAAAAAAAAAAAAGAUCAAUUAUAAUGAUUGCUCUUUUGGUCUUAUUAAAUCACAAUGCAAAUUUAACCCAAUUACAUAGCUCCCUUAUGUGUGCACCCUUGUGCAUGAAUAUAGUUAGAGAAAUAUACGAAAUGAAACCAGUCUCAUCUAUUCCUGAUUACAUGUCAUGUGAGCUCUUAAUUCUGUCCUUGUGUCAUCCUAAACUUCCCCAGUCCAUAUUCCCCAACAAUAAGUUCAUACUCCUCAAACUUUCAGCACAUUCUUGGUGUUGGUUGAUAAACUCCUUCUUAUUUCACUGAAUUAAAAAAAAAAAAUAGAAGCCACCAAAGAGAACAGCACCUAGCUAAUGACAUCAUCCACAUCUCUCUUUAUUAAACAAUACCCAGGCUCUAUGGCUGACCUCUGAACUUCUGUCAUGAAUCCCAACCACCAAAGCCUCCAUGGACUUGGCUUUAGUAAUCCUACACUUCCCUUUAUCUGCCCCACCAUUUCUGUUAACUAAAGUGCUGUUUGUCGUUUCCCUUCAAUUUUAAGAAAACUGUUCCUUUGUCCAGCUUCUAUUCCAGUUAACAUUAUAUGUCCCAUCACUUUAUCCCAAAUUUCAUUCACACCAUUGUCUAUAAUUAACAUUUCUAAUUUUCCUCCUCCUGUUUUUCCUUGGACACACUUUAGUCAUGACUGCCUCUCAGGAAUCCACUGACAUCACCCUUAUCAAAGUCAGCACAGUGCCACUGUGAAGUCCAACCUUAGCUCAUGGCACGGCCUUACUCGACUUCUCAGUGGCAUUUGACACUAUCACAACUUUGUCUUUUUGAAAUACUUUCUUCCCUGAGUUCACAAAGCACUGCACUCACUUCCUCUUUUGUUGAACACAUGGGUCCUUCUUACUGGGUUUUUCUCAUCUCCACACUUUUAAUUCUUUAGUGCUCAAGGUUUAGAACUUAAUCCUUAAAUAUUUUUUCAUAUUUGUCAUAUUUAUUCCCUGGGUAUCAUCAUCCAAUUUCAAAGAACUAACCUCAUCUAUAAUUCAAACUUACCAAAUUUAUAUCUCUAACUAUAAUUUUAAAGGCAUAUUCAUUUCCUUAUUUCCUUUUCAUUCAUAGUAAGAGAUACAAAAUACAACAUAGAGUGCCAGGCACUGUUUGUUAGAUUGUAUAAAUAGCUUGCUUAAUCCUCACAAAAAAAAUUAUGGGUGAAAAAUAGUAACCUCAUUUUCAACUUAGAAAACUAAGACAUUAAGCAACUUACUUGAAGUUAUACCACAGGAAAUGGCAUGAGUCUAAGCUUGGGCUUUCUGGUUCCCAAAUCUAUAUUGUUGUCCCCUGUAUUGUUCAAUAGUUAAAAGGCACCUUUCAAUGUUGGUAGUGGGGCUCCCAUUGUUGCCUCAAGGUCUUUAACCAAAUGCCACCUUCUCAUUGAAAUUUUGGCUCACUGUGUUUAUACACCCAUGCUUUCCAAAGAAAAUUUCUGUUUCAUAUCUACUAUGCUUUAGACUUACUUAUUUUUUGUUUUCUUCACUAAGUGUCCAUAAAAACAACAAUUAUUAUUUUCUUACAGUUCUCUUUUUUCAACUUCUAAAAUAAUAGCUAGCAUAUGGGAGGUGCUUGAUAAAUAUUAAUGUACUCAUUAGUUUUUUAAGCCUGGAUAUAAAACCUUAGAAAAUCUGAAACUCUUUCAGCCUCAGUUGUAGCUGACCUGAAUUAUAAUAUUUGCCAACCAAUCCUAAAUUCAAAGAUUAUAGGAAACAAUAAGGGACAGACAUUCUCUGAACUUGGGGUUCUAAGAUCUUAAUUUACUCACUAAGAAGCUGAUGAAUAUUUGAGAGUUUAGAAGAUGAGAAUAAGGGAAUUUCCAUGGAGAGUUUGUGGGAUAUGAAUUUCCAUUUGUCACUCCCUCCACAGGGGAACUGUAUGUGGCUCUUUCUCUUCGGAAUCUGAUAAGAACUUACUCUUCAUUCUCUGAAGUUUGUGGCUUAUUUGAAUGGGCUUCUGUUUGUCCGAUAUCUGUUUAGCUAAGUGACCAAAGGCUGCAUUUGGAAAGUUGCCACACUCAUAGUGGGCUUCCUUUCCAAGCUCCCCAAGCACUAAAAGGAGGCAGAGGGUGUGAGAGCCAACAUUACACAUGGGAGACACAGUGUUGACCCAGAGAUGCUGCAGAUGUAAUGCUAGUUGCUGGUGAGAGGGUAGAGCCAGAAGCUGCAGUGUGAGAGGUAUCAUCCUUGUCAGGAAUUUACCUGAUUGGUCCUAUUGGGUAAUAAGUUUUAAACAUUACCAGGGUAAGGGAGAAACUGUGAAAUCAGGGGUAGCUAGCAAAGUCCUUUCUUGACCCUUCUUCCUUCUGCUUUUACCCAGACUGUGCUCUGGGCUUUAGGAGAGAGAAGAUUUGGCAGAGUAAAGACAACUCAAGAUGAAAUUCCCAGGACACAACAAACUCUUCUUUCUCCUUCUCUCUCUUCCACAGAUACAUCCUCACUUGACACUUCACACCUACAGCUGGGCAAAUUGGGAGGAUAGGAGCUGCUGAGAAAGGAGAAACUCUAAUAAACUUUGCUGGGGAUGAUGAUGUAGCAAAAUGGAAGAGGGCUUCUCUGCAUAGGCAAUGCCAUGGGUUAGAUCCCAGCACCAUAUACAAUCAAAAAAAAUUUUUGGUUUUCAAAUAUAGAUAUUGAGAUAUAGUUCUGAACUGAGAAUUUUUUUUUUAAUUUAAGGAGUCUUAUUAUCAAAGAGUAAUCUCAUAAAAUAAGAAUGUUGUACAAAGUACAUGUAUGAAGACUUGAAUUGGAUGUAAACAUACUUUAUAUACAAACAGAGAUACAAAAAUUGUGGUAUAUAUGUGUAUUAAGAAUUGUAAUGCAAAAAAAAAAAAAAAGAAUAGCAUUACCUUAGAUUAGGUAGAGGGAAAUGAAGGAGGGGAAGGCAAGGGAUGUGGGGAUAAGAAAGAUAGAAGAAUGAAGCAGACAUUAUUACAUUAUAUAUGUGACUGUAUGACCAAUGUGAUUCUACAGUAUGUAUAAUCAGAAAAAUGAGAAAUUAUAUUCCAUCUAUGUAUGAUACAUCAAAGUGUAUAAG